GAGAGCCGGAUGCGGGAGAUCUGCAUGUCCGGUUCGAUGAGCGGGGUGUGAAAACGGAACCAUGGUCAGGUUAUUGGGGCACCGCCAGACGAAAGAGGCGGCAACAGACAAACCUAGCCUAAAGUCACCGCGUCACAUCUCGACUCUAC
rnacentral:ncRNA from 1 species